CGGGCCGAAGAGGCAGGAAGCGAGAGGUCAGGUGGAGGAAUGCAGCCUACUUUUAUACCCUCUGUCUGCACCAUGAUUGGCUAAGAGCUUGAAAGAGGCAAACAGAGCCGAGCUUGAGGCCGUGGUGCCUCAUACCACUACAAUAAGAUAAGAUGAAAUGCACUUUAUUGUCCCCUUAGAGAAAUUUGUCUUGGACUCCAAGAGCUGCAAUUUGCUAAUCAGGGCCUGCUCUGAUAUCUCUGCAUCACUGAAUCACUUUUGGAGCAAUUUGAUCAACGAUAAAAAGCUGACUCAAAAUCAAAAUUCUUAAUUAUUUCACAAUGCUAUUAUUUGAAAUCUCUGGAGAAUCUCAUCAUAAUGUCCACACCCCCAGCAAUAGCCCCUGUGGCCCUUUCAAAAUUUCCCAGAGGGAAUUGUCGGGCAGCACAGGGGCAGUAUGUUUUUCAAGAUGUUUCCUCUCACACAUGCCUGGCUUGGCAUGAAACAAGAUUAAAUACUUUUGUAAAUACCUAAUUUUCUAUUUUAGAAAACAGUAUUUUAGAAAAAUGGUAAUAGUCUGGAAACAUACACACUUUUCCAAACAUUAUUUUUCAUUUUCCAUAUUUUUUAAUACCUGGAAAUUGACCAAAUUUAUUUUCAUACUUUUCCAUAAUUGCGUAGGAACCCUGUCCUAAGAAAGUUUGAGCAUAUUCUCCGUAGAUGCUAUGUUUUGAAAGACUUCAAGGCAAGAUCAGCAUAAGUCCCGCCUACUGACUUUGAGAGGUGAGUUUGACAGAUAAAAUAAAUUCAUGAAGCACUGCAACACAGAUCGAUGAAAUAAUUGAUUAAAUAGUGAAAUGAUUAUAUAUGUUUUAAUAUGAAAAAAAAUGUAUUUA